rnacentral:misc_RNA from 1 species
GGAAGUAAAAGUCGUAUCAAGGUUUCCGUAGGUGAACCUGCGGAAGGAUCAUUAUUGAAUGAAACACUUCUGGCUUUAUGCUGUUGUGCUGGCCCUUCGGGCAAUGUGCACACGGCUCUGGUCACUUGUUUCUUCUGUUCCACCUGUGCACUGCCUGUAGACACGCUGUGUCUAUGAUAUUUGUUAACACACAACAAUGUUAGUUGGCAUGUUAUAUAUAAUAAUAAAAUAUACAACUUUUAACAAUGGAUCUCUUGGCUCUC